rnacentral:misc_RNA from 1 species
AAUUCUCAAAACCUGUUCUUCGAUUGGGGAAAGGGUUUUGGACUUGGAGGAUCAAUGCUUGCUCUUACUUUUGAAGGCGAGCUCCUCUCAAAUGAAUUAGUGGGGUUCGCUUCGCUGAUCCCUGACGGUGAUAAGACAUCUCUACGUUUUGGAUUUGGCGACUGUCCCUUGCUUCUAACCGUCCUAUGGACAAUGAUGGGUGCACCGGUCACCGCCUUACAUUGGCGGGGAGGCUGGGCCCACAAAAGGA